CUAGAAUGAUACUUGCUGGAUAGAUUGAAAAAGUGAAGCUUUAGCAGCAAGUGGAAAAAGAGAAGCACCAGGUGCAGUAACUCAUCCAUUGAGUGAAAAGGUUCUUCCCAUGUCCCUACUCUCAGAAAUGCAUUUUGAAAUUUGGAAGAAACAAGACGUUACACAAGUACAUAGCUUCACUACAAAGGGGAAGGGCAAAAUACCAUCUUUGAUUUAAUUCCAGGCUUCAGUCUCUAAUUCUGUGGCAUGGAUAGCUCGUGAAUUCUUUGUUCCUCUGCCAAGCUCAUCAGGGAUAAGUAGCCUUGCUCUGGGAAUAUGAGUUUGAUGAUUGAGUUGCAUGAACCCUGGAAGCCUGGAAUCUUCCUCUGUUUCGAUUUGCACAUUCCUGUGUGCCUCCUGACUGCAGUACUCCCCAAAGCCACAUGGAAAAGCUAAAAUCAAUUCUGGUAAAUCUCAUCAACUUGUAGGACACCCCUGUAGAUUUCCUUCAGUUUAAUCUCUAGCAUUAACUGGAAGAAACAUUUUCUUAUCCAGUCACUGCAUUUGUCAAGAAAUAAUGCUAUGGUUGAAUGCUGCACUAAAUGACAGAGAUUAAUAGUAGCACAAUACUAGAUGUUUCUUUGUUUGCUAUUCCACUCAAUGCCUGAUGUAACCUCAUGAUGCAUAUGUUGUACCCCCAACUUUAGAAAUAAGAAAAGUGAACUUUCGGGAGGUUAAAUAACUUCCCUACAGUCACUUAGUUAAGAAAUAGAGAUGGGAAGAGUUCAGGUCUAGGUUUGUCUGAUUGCAAAUUCUGUAUCCUUUCUAUUGUUUUAAUCUGUUUGACUUUAAAGCUGUUACAUGAGAAUGAUCAUAGUACCCCAGAGAACUUCUGUGAGGAAUAAAUGGAUAUGCAAAAGUAAUGCCUGGCUCAAGACAUCAGGGGAAUCAAUCAGCUGGAACUUGCAAGAUUCACUUUUAAUUUGGCUCACCCACAUGGCCAGGCAUGUGGACCAGGACCAGCUCUUUCUCUCCACAUAGGUUUCUUCAAGGACUUCUUGGGCUUCUUCAUAGCACGGCAGUUGGAUUUCAUGAGUAAGCAUCUUAAGAGACAAACAAUGGAGGCUGCCAGUUUAAUAAAGCCUGAGCCAGAAGCUGGUACAGCAUGACUUCCUCCAUACUCUUUCAGUCAAACAGCCAUAGAGCCCAGAUCAUGGAGAAAAACAUAGACCCUACCUUUUGAUGGAAAAAAAAUUCACUGGAAAACUUUGGGGUUCUGUUUUAAAAGUACUGCAUCUCCCUAACCUCCUGUAGUCACUGCCAGAGCCAGGGUUUAACUGCAGGCUUAUUUGACGCCAAAGCUCAUUUUAUAAAGACUGAAACUGACCUGAGGAGAAAUAUAGCAGGUUUAAGUAAUUUCCCAUGAGGAAAUGAAAACUCUGAAUCCAAAGUCCUUAAAUUACCUACUACACUGUAGUUCACAAGAUGAAAUGGACCAGUGCAUGGCAGUGCAUUUUUAAAUUAUGAUGCUUUCUAUCAAUAAACUGCUUGUAAAUAUAAGUAAA